rnacentral:lncRNA from 1 species
AGCAUUAAAGAAAACCCAAUCGGGGCAGGCGGGAAGCACUCCAGCCUCCUUGCAAGCUUGGGGCGCCUCAUUCUCUCCCGUGCCCCUUCUCCCAGCUGGGUCUGAGCCCCCGCCCCCCUGGCUCCUCCGUUCUGCUUCUCCCAGCUUCUCUGUCCAUCUCCCCCAAUGGCCUCUCUCUACACUCUCUGCCUCAGCUUCCAGGUCUCUGCUGGUCCCUAGGAAGCACUUUGACCUCUGCUUCCCCUUCAAAUGCUGUGGAUCAAGCCUCCCCAACCCCACCAUCCCACCAAAGGGGGCUGCUGACCGAGAGAGCUCACUCAGCCAGAUAUCCCACCGAUGGCCAAGUGCCAGUUAGUCACGGCCUCAGUGCAGCACCUCAUCCCUCCCAGAAAGCCAUGGCUCUGGACUCCACCCACUGAAAACAGGGCUUUUGUGGGAAUACAAUGGGACAAGAAGAAAAACAUGCUGAACCUGAUCUCCAUGGGACCUGAUGUGGAGUCACGUUCAUUCACAUCACUGGCUUGCAGCCUCUCCACUCACAAGUUAUUGAUAAUCGAAAAAAUAAAACACCAUGCGAUCGUA